rnacentral:rRNA from 1 species
UACGAAGGGUGCAAACGUUGCUCGGAAUCAUUGGGCGUAAAGCGCACGUAGGCGGCGCAGUAAGUCGGACGUGAAAUCCCCCGGCUCAACCGAGGACGUGCAUCCGAAACUACUGUGCUCGAGUAUGGAAGAGGGUCGCGGAAUUCUCGGUGUAGAGGUGAAAUUCGUAGAUAUCGGGAGGAACACCAGUGGCGAAGGCGGCGACCUGGGCCAAUACUGACGCUGAGGUGCGAAAGCGUGGGGAGCAAACAGG